rnacentral:tRNA from 4 species
GGUGAGGUGCGAGAGUGGUUGAAUCGGGCGGUCUCGAAAACCGUUGAACCUUUGCGGGUUCCGUGGGUUCGAAUCCCACCCUCACCGCCA